rnacentral:lncRNA from 1 species
CUUAUUCAGUGAAAACAUGAUGAAGAGUUAAACAUGAGUAACAUGUAAUUAAAAAAAUUUCAUCAGUAAAAAAAAGGUAAAUACUGCUAUUCAUGGUAAUUUUUUCUUCAAAAAAUGGAUUUGUUAAACCCAUUAAAUUGUAAAAUUUUAAAAACAUAAAAAAUAAAAUACUUAAAAGUAAAUAAUAUAACAAACAAGAUGGACGGCUACACAGUUUAUAAAAUGUAAUGAAAAAGUUGGGUCUAUGUCAUAUAGUUAUUCUUGCAAGCAGAAAAUUCAAUCAUGAUUUAAUCAGAGUAGUCUAGUCCUACAGACUGAUAGAUUGGUUAUCUGUUGGACUAGUCUACUCUUAAAGGAGGGUAGUUUACUUUAAACCUAAUGAUGACUUCACAGUUCAGCUAGUAAGCAAGCUAAUCAAAGAUAUAACCUUUACCUACACACUCAAUGCAUUCUGCUGUAAUGUAAAAUUUCUGGACAUCUUGUUAAAUGGCACAUAUUUUACAGUUCACUAUGAUGAAGUUUACAUUACCUU